AGGGACAGCAGUUGUCUUUGGUCCCCAUUCUCUAGUAGCAUCGUUCUGCUGCUAUGGUGCCGAUCCAUACUAUGCACCCUCAGCCUGAUGAGGGGACACCUAAACAAAGUGACCAGCCGACCAAGAUGCUAAUCGUGCUAGACAGUGAGGACAGUGAGGAAGAGUCCAUUGAAGAGCAGCAGCCGGCUACGCCAUGGAAUGACCUGUGUAUUAUAGAUCGCGUAGGCUUCAACAGUGCUAAGAUGUCAGAG